AGCAGCCGCGGUAAUUCCAGCUCCAAUAGCGUAUAUUAAAGUUGUUGCAGUUAAAAAGCUCGUAGUUGAAUUUCGGGGUCAGUAGAUUGGUCGUGCCACUGGUAUGUACUGGUCUUACUGGCUCCUCCUUCCUGAUGAACCGUAAUGCCAUUAAUUUGGUGUUGCGGGGAGACUGGACUGUUACUUUGAAAAAUUAGAGUGUUUAAAGCAGGCUAACGCUUGAAUACAUUAGCAUGGAAUAAUGAAAUAGGACGUUCGAUCUUAUUUUGUUGGUUUCUAAGAUUGACGUAAUGAUUAAUAGGGAUAGUUGGGGGCAUUAGUAUUCAAUUGUCAGAGGUGAAAUUCUUGGAUUUAUUGAAGACUAACUACUGCGAAAGCAUUUGCCAAGGAUGUUUUCAUUAAUCAAGAACGAAAGUUAGGGGAUCGAAGACGAUCAGAUACCGUCGUAGUCUUAACCAUAAACUAUGCGACUAGGAGUCGAUGAUGUUAAUUUUUAAUGACUCAUUCGGCGUAC
rnacentral:sRNA from 1 species